rnacentral:lncRNA from 1 species
UUCUUUGUUCUGAUUUCAAUGGUGGUAGUAUCGUUUUCUUCGAGAGAGAGAGAAGAUAACAAAGAAAUGCUUAUAAACAAUGCUUUAAAAGAGAAAGUGUUUAUAAACAACGCACUGAAGAGUUGCACGGAAAGUUUUAAAGUCUUUCAGUUUUGGUAGAGAGAGAAGUAAUUGCUCUGUUCUUCUUUCUUUACCAAAAAUGGAAAAACUUCAUUUAACAUUUAAUCAUAUCUCUUCAUUGUUGCAAAUCGAAAAACUUUUCUUCAAAAUAAACCAGUUCUCUCUCUUUCAUUCAACCUUCUUCUCUCUUGAAUUCUUCAAGGUUUCUUCUUAUCACCUACAGGUAUAUCUCUCUCUCUGUCUUUCUUUCUUUGCUCUGUUUUGGGAUUUUGUUUUCUUUAAAGUUACAGUCUUUUUCUGCAAUUUACUUGAUAUUGCUUGGAAAUCUUGUAAUGGGUAUUAAAGAAACUAUGGGUUUGCCUAAAUUGUUGUAGAUUGAAAUGGGUGUUUUGCUAAUUUUGAAAAUGUUUCACCAAAUUGAGGCAAAUGGCGAAAUGUGUACUUCUUUUGCAGUAAUUUUAACUAUUAAAUGAGGGUUUUUUAGCAAUUUAAUUGUUGUCAUUCAUUCUAGCCAUUAAAUGUCUUAGAAGUCAGUAUCAUUAUGAAGAUAAGUGAGCUGAAAGGUAUUUGUUAUCUCCCAAAUGACAAAAUCAUUUGAGUUGAUUGGAACUUCUGGCAAAGUGUACAUUUGAAAUUCUCAUUUGGGAAUCUGAGUUGAACUUUGAAAUUGUUGAAUUUGUAUUUUAAAUGCUUUUGUUAGUUGAAUUUAAGAUUAUAUUUAUUCCACCCUAUUUAUUUGGAUCAAUUCAUAAAGGUUUGUUACUGCUGUGUUCAUUGUUGUUCCUCUAUGUCUUGUAGGUGUUGGACUUACGACUUUGCAGUAUACUAGUCUUGGUGGAUUGAAAUACUAGAUAUGAUGGAUGGCACAAAACCGAUUGCAACGAGAACUCGGAGUCGAGUUGAUUUGUUUUGCAUAGCUGAAN